AUGCAGUAUAUGUAAGGACAGUCGUUUGUUCACAUUGUAUAUGAAUUGAAUUUAUUUUAAUUCUAUCACUCUGCAUAAAUUGUGCAGUUGAAUCUGCAAUCCCAUUCUAGAAUAUUUUCACGGGAACCUCAAGGUGACUGGGAAAGUAUCGUGGUAGUGGAUAGAGGUACACGUGACCUCUCGCUCCGAGGCACAUCUCCACCCUUCAAUGUUUUUCACAAUAAAACUCAUAAUAUUCACCAAGUUGUGAUGCAUGUAUUAUCAUACCAAUGUCGUGCUGGUUGAAACUGUUGUUAACGUUGAAGUGAUUUUGAUGGGCCUUCUAAUUACAGUUUGUUAAAAUCAAUGUAAAUUACCUGGGCUAUAUGGAAAAGAAAUAGGAAGUGAAUUUAAGAAUUAGACUUUAUGUCAGUAGAUACGGGGGAAAUCCGGAGUAAAAAUAGCAAUACCAUAGGGUACCCCAAGAUGUAAAUCAAUAAAAGAUAUACUGUACAAAAAAAUCAACCCCAUGGAUAUAUUUUGAGAUUUCUUUGCGGGGAUUUCAACAAAUUGAUAUGAAGAUCCAGCUUUAGGUCACAAUACAAGAAUUAUAAGUAUGGUGUGUACAAUAAAAAAAAUCCUGUAUAAACUAGUUCACGAACUCUUACGUACCCACUGUCCUUAAAGGGAUUUAAGAAGUUUCAGCAGAUUUUAUGUAAGAUAUUGAUUCUUCUAAAUGAUUUUUAAAAAUUUCUAUCGUGUUUACUAUACCAUUCUUUGCUAGUUAGCUGUUGUUGGAACUGUGAAAGAAUAAAAGUCCUCGCAAGUGAUUGAGGGAUUUUGAGGGAUGAACACAAAAAAUCGUGCCCCCUGGUUACCGUUUUGUUGGAGAGGCAAUGAAAAAUACCAGUUAGGAUAUUGACGUGACACAUGAUCACUCGCUAAUCAUUUGUCUGUUGUGUGUCUUCUUCAAUUGCACUCUCUUGAACCAGAACAAUAAUUAAAUAAUUCAAUUAACUUCUCUUGAAUCCAUCUGUUGCACUACUACGCGUAUUCUUAUUCUUGUAAGCACUGGAGUAAGAGCAUCAGGUUUGUUUGUUUAAAAAAAAAAACCUAAUUCUCAAAACUCUGUCUUCUUUUUACUGUAAACAAUAUCGGAUAUUUUCAGUCAUUACGCCGUCAGUUUUGAAUUGUUUUUAUCGUUUAUUAAACUCGUUGUAAUCGAACGAAAACAGAUUAGAUGAAAACAAGCCUGUCUGUUUUGCAUGUUAUUUGACUUUAAUUAGUAUUCACCAUUGUUGUAGAAUGAGUGUCAGAAAAUUAUGCUUAUAGUUUUAAUGCAACAUUAUCUUGGCACGCGUCUGGCAUAUCAGCUCAGAAACUACAGACAUCGUAUUGUGUGUUUUUUCGUACCUUCUGUGCAGAAGAGGAUUUAGGCAGAUUGCACAGAGUGUAAAGAAACUUCAGCACUAAGCAAAGAAAUUCGAAAAGUUACGAUGCAUCAACAACUGACGAUUCGCCAAGAUUUCCCUUAUCAAAUAUUUUCUAUUUCUGAUAAGUUUUAAAGACAUAUAUCUUCGGUGUGUUUGGUUGCGAGUUGUGAAGAAUACGGCGUUAGUGUCUGAGAUUCAUUCAUUGGGACGGUGCCAUCCCAUACUGCUUUGCUCGUACCAUCUCAUUCGUGCAAAAAAGAAACACUGCCCCGUUAUACGAGUAGAAAGGGAUUGGAAAAUGCAUUGGAAGAAUUGGGAGAUGUAGUGCAGUAGCCUUUUGAUAUUUUUUGCCUUUUUAAUCUUUUGGACCAAUUUUCACCAUGUCGUACAGACGUUAUUCCAGAGACUUAGAUAGUUCGCCGUCUUAUGACCGGGGAUAUGGCAGUAUUUCGAGUGGAAGAAGCCAUGGAUCCACUUAUGAUAACAUGGGAACAAGUAAAGGGUACGGAUCAACUGGUAAAUUCGGAGCAGGAAGUAGCAACUAUCUAAGUCCAUCUUACGGGUCUUCAUCUAAAAAUUACUCUUCAUCCAGUUACCAACCAUCCAAUCGUUAUUCAUACGGAGGAUCUAGUCCAUACAGUAGUGGCAACAGAUAUUCAUCCUACAGUGGAGGAAGCGGAUUAUAUAGCCCCGUGAAGGAUAGAAUCCAGCGAUUCUCAACGGCCGAAAACCGCUCCUCAAGGCAAGACAUGUAUUCACCUAUUAACAGCAGCCGUGCCCCUUCUGUUGGAAGGGACAUGCCAUACGGAUAUGAUAAGCAUUCCACAAGAAGCGCAAGCUCUGAUCCAUACGCCAAUAGAUCUGGCUAUCUCUCUGACUACGGAGGAAGCACAAAAUCAUUCGGAUCGUACGACAAUUCUUCACUUCGCUCGGGACGGAGCUACGGAGGGGCCAGUAGGGAAAGUUCCCCUGUCAGUAACAGGUCGUCAAGAUAUGAAUACAGUGGUAGUGCUUCUCCGUCAUAUUCUACCUAUACCUCUGAAGCUUCACCACCAGUUUCACGAAAAUAUGAGAGACAGCAAGCAAGAGCGUCCGAGACAGACUAUGAACCAUAUGGAAGUAGACGCCCUCGUGAUUACGGUAACCUUCCACUUCCUCGAAAAGAAUUGGUUACCUCAGAAAGUGAUACUGAUGAUAGUGCUCCCGAAGCUGAGAAGGAUGGUCUAAAAGGACGAUAUCUCAUUUCUAGAGGAACUUCACCGAUUCCGGAAGGGGGAUCGCGUCGUGAAAUUAAACAAUAUAGACGUGGGAAAUCAAACACCAUAGCAAAAACAAAAAGAAUACGUCCCCAAAGUCGUGAAUUCCGACGGGAUGGUCGCUAUAGAGGUCGUCUUCCGACAAAUGUUGUAGACUGUGCCACACAAACUUUGGAACCACCAUCUCCCAGACGAGGAAGACGUGGUUCUGCCAGUAGCAAUGCUGGAAGUGCCGGAGUGGACAUGCGCGAGAAGGCAGCAUUGGCAGCUUUAGCCAUGAUGGAAGAUGGGGGAGGUGGAAGCGGGGCAGGGGAAGCAUUCUACAAGUAUAGAGAUAAAUUUUCGAAUCCCAUGCCACCUGGUUAUAAUGAUGACGGCAAUAAAUCAAAUAGGUAUUCUUAUAGAGACAAUGAAGCUGCUGUAGCCGAUGUGCCGGGAGAGAGAUCUUGGAGAAAGGCAGUUUAUGGCGAUGUGGAUUCGCCUAAAUUCUCUGUUGCAGAUUCAGAAGACGAGGCUCCUGUCCGCAGAAGAAGAGCUCCUAGGACAAGUACGCCAAAAUCACCAAAUGAAGUCGACAUGGAGGAACCACGAAGUUCUCGAUAUAGACCAAGAGAUUCGGACAGAGAAUCCAGACCGGAUUAUCAUCGAUCAUCUUCAAGAGACAGCAUUCUAGACGAAAAACCGAGACGUAAGCGACACAGCAGUCGCGAGCUGCUAGAUAAUCCCGUUGAACCAGAGAUUAUUGUGCAUUCUCCUGUAGAUCCACAACCUCCCGUGCUACGUCGUAAGCGACACGGAAGUAGAGAGUUACUGGAUGACUCAAUGGAGACCGAAGCUCCUUUAACGCCGGAAACUCUUUCUCUUCGUGAUAGUAUUGAAAAGGUCCAACAAUGGAAACAACAACUACCAUUGCAAGACCCUUAUUCUGGUGAUGCCCAUCCCGCACCAAGCGGUCCCGUUAGAAACUUAGAGGCUGGGUUUCCGAGAAGUGAUUCGGGUGAGUACUUCUCAGCGCAUGAUUACCCUCCCUCAAAAUCCUCUAAACACUCCGAAAGGGACCUUUCUAGUCGCGACGUUUCACCCGAUCGAAUGCGCGGUCGACGGUCAAUGCGCGAGUCUUCUCCAGCGCGUGACGAAUCUCCACCUUCCAGGAGAGGUAGGCGUGGGAAACUACGAAAUGAUCACAACAAUGAUAAUGUCUUUACAAACGACAGUGGACCGGACUCUAGAAUGCUAAAUAAAAGUUACCGAAAAUCAAAUCUCAACAGAUCACUAGAUCUCGAAGAUGAAGCAGAUGGUGAUUCUAAUAUGAGAUCCAGGAGAAGCAAUUCUAGAGGAUUAAAUCCGCCAGCACAAAACAGCCGCAAAUCGGGUAGUUCUUCCGAUGCAUUUUCCAGAGAAGAUUCUCCUAAUCGUCGACACUCUCGGCAAUCGUCAUACGAAAGCCGACGAAUACGAAGAGAAGGUUCGCGAGAUGACGCGUUAGAUGACAGAAAGCAACGUCGAGAUGGACAUCAAAGUGAUCGUGGUCAACAAAGUGAUAGUUCGCAUUAUGGUUUUAAUCGCGAAGAUUCUCCCAAUCGGUUUCAAUUUACGAAACGAAAACAAACAAGCAGGCACAGUUCACGCGAGGACAAUCUGGAUGAUCGACAAUCUUACAGCAGACAGGGAUCACAUGAUAAUGUACUUGAUGACACAGGUGCUAAAUACAAUCGUCCAAGUAGUCUGGGCGUAUCUAAUGAAAGUCUAGCUCACAUGAGCAACUCUUCCUCCACACCCUCUAUGAACUCUGUGGUACCCGAUGAUGGAAAUUUACGAAAGGCAUCGUCUUCUUCUUCAGCAAUGUCUAACGAAACAAGAGCAACAUUAAGAUCACCAAACCAACAAGGUAUGCCAAAAAGUAUAAAAAAUGAGUCAGGGCUACCAGACCUUGUCUCGGGUGCUAAUGAAACAGACAAUCAACAGUCAAGUCGUAAACCACAGCAGGCAAAGCGAACAAAAAGUGGUUUCAUUGGGGCAAAUAUGGAUAUUGACAAUUUGUUAAAUUUUAGCCAGGAUGACAAUAAAAAAGGCAAAACAAAACAGUCUAGGGAUUAUAAUGCAGACAGUAAAAAUCUUGACGAAAUAAUGAUCAAACGACCACAAAACUUGAUGGAUACACCAGUUCCCGAUCAUCCACAUCCCUUACAGCCAAAGUCGUCAGAAGAAAAACUUGUGGAUAUUGAAGAACCAAAGACGGUUCAAAACUUAGGGGCGCCUCCUCCGACAACAACACCCGAUUCCCCAAUGUCUCCCCAGAGAACACGGGGUCUGCCCUCAGCGGCCGCCCAGCAGAUGGGCAAUAUUCUGAAAAACAAUAAGGGAUCGGUCACCAUCUCCGACAUCCUGAAUCUGUGCUACAAGCCUCCUCAGCCGAAGGUCAUCCGGGUACCGGGAGUCACCAAUCCCGAGGAUGAGCUUCACUUCCGAGGAUUCACGACAGCCAAUCAAGUGUUAGAGUAUUUAGGAGUAGACACUCAGAAGUUAGAAGACUGUGCCCUACAGAUAUAUAGAUACCACAAUGGAACUCAGGGAGACUUCGGGACUUAUCUGGAUCUGGAAUCCACCAUAGACGAGCAACAAGAGGAACUAGAGGGAUUCCAAGACCAGAGGAAAAACGCCUUGAUACUGAGGACACAGCUAACAGUUCGGGUGCACGCAGUGAUCGAGAAACUUUUGAAUUCUCAUGGGAGAGAGUUGAGGCGUGCACUGUUUUCAUUAAAACAGAUAUUUCAGGAUGACAAAGACUUGGUCCAUGAAUUUGUGAACAACGAUGGUCUGGAUUGCCUCAUCAAGGUUGGAUCUGAGGCAGACCAGAACUACCAGAAUUACAUUCUCAGAGCUCUGGGACAAGUCAUGUUGUAUGUAGACGGUAUGAAUGGCGUUAUAAACCACCCAGCUACCAUUCAAUGGUUGUACUCGCUACUGGCGUCCAAGUUUCGUCUGGUUGUGAAGACAUCACUGAAGCUGUUGUUGGUGUUUGUGGAAUAUACCGAGUCCAAUACAGAUAUCUUUAUCUCCGCAGUGAAAGCAGUAGAUACCAAAAGAGGUGUAAAGCUUUGGUCCAAUAUCAUGGGGAUCCUGGAUGAAAAGGAGGGAGGAGACACAGAACUUCUUACCUAUGCCAUGACCCUAGUCAACAAGGUUCUGAAUGCCAUCCCAGACCAGGACACCUUUUAUGAUGUCACUGAUGCAUUUGAGGAACUUGGCAUGGAAAGAGUAACUCAGAGACAUAUGAACAGAAACGGAGCUGACCUUGACCUUUUAGCACAAUUUCAGAUUUAUGAGGCUGCGUUGAAGUCAGAAGACGGGGAAGAAGAUGGAGAUCAGUCGCAGAUGGAAAACCUCAGGAGAACACCAAGAAUCAAGUCAGAAGGAGAGAUGGGUAGAAAAAGUCGCAGAUUUUCUUUAGGAACAGGUCCCAGUAAAAUGGCUAAAUCCAAAAGUGUACCAGAACUCCAUCCUGCUGAAGAGUACAAACUCCGAAAAGAAAAACAGAAAGAACGAUGUCAGCUGGUCCCAGAAGAACAUGAACAACAUGACCAGUUGCCAGAUCAACAGAUCAGAAUGAAAAAGUUUGAGGAACAACAACAGAGUAUGGAGGAAGAUCGGCCUCCAGAUGAACUGGUCUCCCCAUCAGAGAACCAGGUGAACGGGACUGCAAAUCUAGAAUCCAAGGAACCCAAAUGUCGCCAGUCUUCUUACCCAGCAUAUGAAGUCAACACUAAUACACCAAGAAGUCGACAACAACGUAGAGAACGCCAGCGUUCAUUUCUUAAGGAACAGGAAAUGGAGCGAGCACGGCAACGUGUCUCUGACCGUUAUCAUGACAAUGACCGUGCUUCAGUGGCCAGCACUUCCAGCACAGGGUCAUGUGAUAGUAACUCUCAUACUGUGGAGAUUGAGUCUAAAUACUCCUCACUGAGUUCACUCAGUGAUGUAGAAACAAAUGAUCAUUCACGGGUUCACGACAAGAGAAAGGGACAACAGAAACCUACCUUACAGCCACAGAAACCAGAAGACACCAUCUCUAAAGAAUCCGGUUACAAUAGUAAUGAUGAAGCAUCUCAUGGCCAACAACACAAUCUGGAAUCAAGGAACAAUGAAAUCAACAACAGCCUCCACCAGAGUGAAAACGGUGAGAACGAGGAGAACGAGGUGCCACAAGACAUGUCCAGUAACAGUCGAUGGCUGAUGUACAUGAAGAAACAGAAGGAGAAAGAAAACGAGGAGGAAGUCCCAGAGCCAGGGGUUCUCAAACGUCACCCUUCCAUACGUGGAGACACCAGCCUCACCCAGAGGAAAGAGACUCUGGAACAAGGACUCAAGGGAAAUUCUUUAAUGCCUCCCAGACCUGUGGAAGCAUUCGAAGAGCAAGAUAACAAAUUUAAAGACCAUAUUGACAAAUUCUCCAGUGGGUCAGGUUUACCCGAGUCGAAAGAAAAGAAAGCACCAACUGGAGAUAAGUCGGGGUUAAUCAGCCGUGCCAAAGAGGGACUUCAACAACAAACCACUGUGAAAAAACCAGAACCAGCUCAGCCUGUAGAAGUUAAAAAGACAGAGAGUGAUAUUCAGUGGGAUAAGUUAUUACAAAAGUUACACAGACCUUUAAAAAUUAAAGAUCUUGAUUUCACUGAUCUCAAGGACUCUGAGGACGAGGAUGUGUUUUCUCCUCCUAAAGUGGCAUUUAAUCCAGCUUUAGGUCCUCCACCACCCCCAGGGAUGGUGCCCCCACCCCCUCCACCACCAAUGGGAGGAAUACCUCCACCCCCUCCACCACCAAUGGGAGGAAUACCUCCACCCCCUCCUUUUGGAGCUCCCCCUCCUCCUCCUCCUCCCCCAGGUGGUAUUCCUUCUCCUGGAGGAUCCCCCAGACUUGAUACACCAAAUGUAAAUCUCCCUCCACCUCCAGGAUCAACUCUGAAGAAAGUGAAAAAGACAAUAAAACUCCAUUGGAGGACUGUGCAACCAGAGAAGCCCCAUCCCUCCACCAAGGGAGAAACAAUCUGGAAAGAUAUUUUGAAUGUGAAGGUGGACCCAGAUAAAUUAGAGCAUCUGUUUGAGACCAGGAGUACUGAAAUUAACAAAAAGCGUCAGGAAGCAACAGGGAAGAAAGAGAUAACUGUGCUGGAUGCUAAGCGAUCGAACGCCAUUAACAUUGGUCUGACGGUGCUCCCUCCGCCUCGCACCAUCAAGGCGGCCAUCUUGAAAAUGGAUAAUGCCAUAAUGAACAGAGAAGGCAUUGAGAAAAUCUUGAUUGGAAUGAUCCCAACAGCGGAGGAGAAGACAAACAUUCUAGAGGCUCAGAUGGCUAAUCCAGACAUCCCUCUCGGAACUGCUGAGCAGUUUCUUCUCACACUGUCUUCCAUCAGCGAGUUGCAGGCUCGACUCUCACUCUGGCUCUUCAAGCUUGACUAUGAAACCAUAGAAACAGAAAUAUCUGACCCUCUCUGUGAUUUGAAGAAAGGCAUUGAUGAGUUAAGAAAAAACAAAACAUUCAAAUGUAUCCUGUCUGUGAUAUUAACAAUUGGAAAUUUCCUGAAUGGUGCUCAGGCCAGGGGAUUCAGUAUCGAAUACUUGGCUAAAAUUCCAGAAGUUAAAGACACGGUUCAUAAACACUCCUUACUCCAUCAUUUGUGUGCCAUCAUAAUUGAACAAUUCUCAGACACAACAGACCUUUACUCAGAGAUAGGAGCACUGGCUCGCUGUUCUAGGGUGGAUUGGGACGAAUUACAACGUAAGCUGGAGAAGUUGGAGACUGAAUGUAAAAUGUCUUGGGAUCACUUGCGUGCAAUAGCUAAACAUGAGGGUGGCUCAUCUUCCAACCUCAAGUCAAAGUUAUCCGAGUUCCUGGCUGAUGCAGCACAGCGGAUCAUGAUUUUAGAGAUUGUGUUCAAACGUGUGGUCAAUCGUUAUCAUAAACUGCUCCUCUACAUGGGAAUUCCUGUCAAUUUUGCUAAAGAUAUGAAAGUGAACUCAUUCUGUAAAAUUGUGAGUGAAUUUGCACUGGAAUACAGAACAACAAGGGAAAAAGUCAUGCAGCAAUUAGCAAAGAAGGCAAACCAGAGAGAAAGAAAGAAGACGAGGGGGAAAAUGAUUGUUGAUACGGCCAACUUCUCACGGAGUCGGUCUAAAGAUGAUGGGAACAUGAGUGAGGACCAGGCUAACUUGCACAAACUUCUGUCCAAUGGAUAUACGAGCUGUGAUGAAAGGGGUCUCGGGAUGAAAGGUCGUAGUCGAAGAUCAGGACCACUUGAUUCCAAGUUUUCAUCAUCAUCGAGAGGUUGUGUAACGACCGACUCUGAGAUGUAUGAUACUGGAGAUGAUGAAAUAUUAGAGGCAUGUGUUAGGACAGCAACAGCAGCACCGAGUCGAGCUCCCAGAGAAAGGAAACGAGCUAGCAGACACAGAAAAUCUUCUGAUUGGAGUGGUUUGAUGGCCGAAAUUGUUAAUAGCAAUUUGUACCGAACUCGCACAUUGAAGGAGGAGGAUUAGUAGAAGUCAGAUAAAUCUCAAUUCAACUGGGUGGACUGAAGUUUGGGAUACAGACACUGUGCGACGAACUCUGAAAAGUGGAUUGAAUUCUGAUGAAUUGGAUAUGGUAAAUUCCUUCUCAGAUGCAGUGUAGUGGACUUUUUCUGUUGAAUAGUCAAAAAGGGCUCCAGGUCAAACAGCCAGUGCAAGGAGGUUACAUCAAAGGAUCACUCGUUGAAAACUAACCCUAAAACUCCAUCUGUAUGAAUAUAUAUGUACUAGAUAUAUCUACGUAUGGUCCCAUUUAGUAUAAGGUAAUAGGUAUCAAUCACAUAUAAACUUAGAGUGUGAAAUGAAAUGUUUGUUGAGUUUUGAUUUAGACCAUCCACACAGUGACCAUUUAACUGAUUUUCUGUAUAUUUAUGUAUUUAUUACCUGUCUGUAAUUCCUAUAUAUGAAUGCUGUUUGGUUAUUUUAAUUGUGUGAGGAUUUAGCCCACAUUGGCUGUCUCUGUAGAUGGAGGUUUCCCGUUCAUCCAAGUCUUUCAAUUCUCUCAUGUCAGAAGUCCCUCAUUUUUAUCACCAUCCAUAAGUUUUCACACUAAAUGAUCCAUUAAAAGAUAUUCAUUCAUUAUAUAUCUUCCAUUAAUACAUGAUUUUAUUUUUUUCUUUUGAUUUUUUUUUUUUUUUUACCAGACACAGGGUAAAACGGAGGUUACUCUACUGUUGAUGACAAAGUUCUGUUUCCAAAUUGUAUUAUUUUUAUAACACCAUCUAUUGUUUAUAUUUUACAAGAGCAAAUGAACAAGAGAUUUUAAGAUUUUCAAAGACAAUAAUUAUAACUGUUUGGGCUAUUUUCAAGUUGAAGAUUUUAAAAUCUCUACUGAAUUUUUAUUUACAUGUUACAUAUACUCAUCACCCAGUGUUGACCAAAUGUAGGUUUGGUGAUGUGGUUUGAAGGUGUAGUGUGGUUUGAUAAGAUGAAUGAAUGUCUGUGAUAAAUUUUUAUUAAGUUGCAGGAAUCCUACAAGGUGACCCACUUCCACACAUCUCUUUAUUGCAUAUGUAUGUAUUGCCCAAUACUACUGUACUUGUUAAUUUUAUAGCUAUACUCGAGCAAUUUGUUAAUGAAUCUCAGAGAUUGAUUAUCUUAUAUUUCUCAAAUUUAGAUUCAAUGAAUGUGAUAUAUGUAUUUUAUACAUUUUUCAAUUAUUGAAAUGCACUUUAUCAUAAGAAAGGUAAAGAUUUACUGUGGUGCAGAUUUUUUUAAAUUAGUAUACUUUAAGAGAUUGUACAAAAUUGAUAUGAAAAUGAACAAAUUUUAUUUAUUUCAGAUUUUAUGGUAUUUUUGUUAUGUUGUUGAUUGUGUAAACCAGAGCAGGUGUGAUGGAUUAUAUGUGUGAUGUAGUGUAAUCACCUAUUGAUGCAGUAUUAUUUUAAAAGGAAAUCUAACAUAUUGUUUAUAAUAACAGAUAUGUUAUGGUGCUUUCAAUGAAAUUUGCAAUAAGUAUGAAGUAAUAAGCUUGGUUAGAGUUCGUGCAGUGUAAUGAUUAGUAUUUUAAUAGUUGUAAAAAAAUCUUUAGUUGAACAUUUAGGUGUUUGUUGUUAAGGGCAGUGGGCAAUAAUUGUCAUCAUCUGUCAAAUCUCAUCCACAAUGCCAGAGAAACUAGUCAGCCAUUUUGUAAUCUGACCUUUCAUUUGAUCCCAUUCACCAGGACGCCACAUUUGGGAGUGUCUCAGUUUGAUAUACAAUUCUUUUUUUUUUUUUAUUUAACAUCACAGACAAAUCCUGCCAUAUUUAUGUAAACACAUUUUUCAAUAAAAGUAGGGUGACAUA